CCCCAUGUCAGAUUUGCUGUUAAUGCUUUGGUUUUUGAGUUAUAAGCCAAAAACUGCAUUUUACCCCUAUGUUCUAUUUUUAGCCGUGGCGGCCAUCUUGGUUGGAUGGCCGGGUCACUGGACAUAUUUUUUAAACAAGAUACCCUUAAGAUGAUUGUGGCCAAGUUUGGAUUAAUUUGGCCUAGUAGUUUCAGAGGAGACGAUUUUUGUAAAAGAUAACUAAGAUUUACGAAAAAUUGUUAAAAAUUGACUAUAAAGAGCAAUAACUCCUAAAGGGGUCAACUGACCAUUUCGGUCAUGUUGACUUAUUUGUAAAUCUUACUUUGUUGAACAUGAUUGCUGUUAACAGUUUAUUGCUAUCUAUAAUAAUAUUCUAG
rnacentral:lncRNA from 1 species